GACAGAGGCCUCAAGCGUUAGGCGGAAUCACUGGGCUUAAAGCGUGUGUAGGCGGGUCGUUAAGUACCUUGUGAAAUCCCACGGCUCACCCGUGGAACUGCUGGGUAUACUGGGCGAUCUUGGGCCAACUAGGGGCAACUGGAACAAGCGGUGGAGCGGUGAAAUGCGUAGAUAUCGCUUGGAACGCCAAAGGGUGAAAACAGGUUGCUGGGGUUGUGCCGAC
rnacentral:rRNA from 1 species